ACCUACGCUACCCCAUCCCCCACAACACCCCCCCCAAACCUACCCCCCGACCACCCACCUCCGCCAAACCCCGGCGCCACCCAGGACCCUCACCUCCCAAACUCCCGGCCUGGCAAACACCCCUCAAGCCUACCUCCUUCCCCAAACCCCGUUCGCCUCCUCAAUCUACCCUCAUCCCCACCCACCAUCGCACGCCUCAUCCACCCACGUCGCUUCCCUCACCUUUCGCCUGCUCCACGCCGCCGCCUCCUUUGAAGUAGGGCAAAUGGUAACGAGGGUGAAGAAGAAACACGCGAAGAGCAUCGAGACUUAGGUUUGGAGGAAGAGGUGGCGGAGGAGGAGGGCGGCAGAGCGGGCGUUAUGGGUGCGGAGAGUGUGGGUUUCUUCGUCUGGGGUUUGGGGGGAGAGGUGGCGGAGGAGGAGGGCGGCAUAGCAGGUGUUGUGGAAGAGCGCGGUGGCGGCGGGAGGAGGAGGAGAUGGGGAGGGUGAGGUCGCGAUUUGGUGAGGCGAUUUGAAGGAAGGGAGGCCACGAUUUGCAGAGCGGCGGUGAAAGGCGAGAGAGAGAUGGACCGUCGGCGGUGAAAGGCGGAGAUGGGCGGUGGUGGUGGUCUGGUGGCUGGAAGUCCAGAGCUCGGCGAUGGUGGUGGCUGGAAGUCCAGAGCUCGACGAUGGUGGUGGCUGGAAGUCCAGAACUCGGCGGCAAUGGUGGUGUGCAAGAGAGAUAGAUUUUUGCAGUUUUUUUUUUCUUUUUUUUUUAAUGUUGUUGGAAAUCAAAACGACGUCGUUUGAUUUGAAAAAAUGACGUCGUUUCCUUACGCCGCCGACUAUGCCACGCUGUAAUUACGGUAGUCCACGUCAGUUUCAAAUUGGGGGAAUUUUUUAAUUUUGGGAACAUUUAAGAACGAAUUCUCAAUUCGUUGUAUUUAUACGCCGACUUUGAAGUUGGUGAGAAAAUCGCGCAAUUUUUGAAAGCUUUUGAAUUUAGCGG